GAAGUUGUAACAAUCUGAAUUGCUAAAGAUUUUAUCUUGCAUCAAAUAUGGAGAACAUAUUUCAUUGAUCCAAAAAAGGAUAAAUUUUAGCUUAAGAGAAGUUUACUAUCUAAAAGAGUAAGAAAAUGCAUUUCCUACUUUAAAAAUUCCAGAAACAACUACUACAAAGAGCACAAGAACCUCCAAUUUCAAUAAAUACAUACAAUGAAGGAAACUUCCAAGUUUUGCAAUUGGAAGCACAAGUAAAUAUUAAUGGUAAGACAACUUCCUCUUUCUGAUGCCCAUUUGGCUGCAUAUUUUCUAAUCCAGUCCCCAUAGGAUCACAACAAAAAGCAUGUUUUUGCCAUAGGCUCAAUCAACUGCUCAUCACUGGACAGCUCCUGAUACAUUUCUUCCGAAAAAAGGAUGAUUUUGCAACAUAUCACAAUUUUCGUACAAUGACACGCCGCUCAUGCUUGUAUUCAAUCUCAUCCCUUUGAUGCAUAAUUAUAAGAGCUCUUCUCACAAUUGAUUCAUUCAUUCCCAUUCUAGCAAGUUCAUCAAUCAGCUUUCUUUCUGAUAUGCGCAUGCCAAUUCCAAUUCUUCUCUUUAUCUGAGUUUCUGCUUGCUUUAUCUCAGGAGUAAGAGUCACUUGUUGAUUUAUGCCAGACUGUGCUGCUUCAAUAGUUGAAACCUUAAAAAGAUUUACUGCUUCAACCACAUCUGCCUCAGUAGCAACAUGGGACAGUUUCAUUUUAGCGAUAGCCUCACUCAACCUUAUGAUAGCUUCAAGCUGCCUUACAGUAAUGGGUACUGCAGCAGCUUCUCCAGUUUCAUUUGCCUGCUUCCUCAUGUCCUGUCUGAAUCUGACAUACUCAUUUUGCAGUCUACUGGAUGCAGACUCUGUGAGACGGGGAUGACAUUCAGUUCGACAAUAUUGUAUAUAUCUCUUUAGCCAAUUCUCUUCCUUAGAAACUCUACUAUCAGCUGAAGUUGUAUCAGCAGAUGCAUGAACCUUUAUUAUAUGGCUAGCUAUGAUCUUAUCACGGCUGUAAUCUCUUUUAUCCUUCACAAUAAAGAUUAAGUCAAAUCGAGAAAGAAUUGUUGUCUGUAAAUCAAUAUUUUCCUGAGCAGUCUUAAGAUCAUCAUAACGUCCUGAUGGCGGGUUGGCAGCUGCAAGCACAGAUGUCCUAGAGUUGAUGAACAUUGGGUUGAUGAAUCGUGCUAUUGGUGCUACAGCCUUGAAUGAAAGAAGUAGUAGAUCACACAGUGUUCUCACUGUUCAUGUUAAUGGCGUGGAUUUGGAGACUGGUGCUCUUUUGCGUGGUAAUUUGCAUUUAAUAGAUCUUGCUGGGAGUGAAAGGGUGGACCGAUCUGAAGCAACUGGAGACAGGUUAAGGGAGGCACAACACAUAAAUAAAUCCCUUUCUGCGCUUGGGGAUGUGAUAUUUGCUUUAGCUCAAAAAAAUUCACAUGUGCCUUACAGAAAUAGUAAAUUGACUCAAGUAUUGCAAAGCUCUUUAGGUGGUCAAGCAAAGACCCUCAUGUUUGUCCAGCUUAAUCCUGAUGUAGAUUCCUAUUCCGAAACUAUAAGUACCCUAAAGUUUGCUGAGAGAGUAUCUGGCAUUGAGUUGGGCGCUGCAAGGAUUAAUAAAGAAGGAAGGGAUGUUAGAGAACUUAUUCAGCAGGUGACAUCCCUCAAGGACACUAUUGCAGAGAAGGAUGAAGAGAUUGAGCAGUUGCAGCUGCUUAAGUCUAAUGUCAAUGGCAUGAAGCAUGGUGUGAACUCCCAUAGAAGUGAAUCUUCUUCUCCUGGAAGACGUUCAACUGAGAGUCCACGUCAAGGCCCUGGGAAAAGUGGAGAGAAAAGCUUAGGAGCUCAUGAUAAAGUGGCAUCUGACAUGGAUAAUAGUUCAGAGUACAGUGAGAAACGUUCUGAAGCUGGUUCUCUACAUUCAAGGGCUGACUUCAGGCAUCAAAAGGCAUCUCUCCCACAGUCAAAGUCAAUGGGUGACUUAAGACUUCAAAAGAAAUUUCUCCCUCAGUCAAAGCUUAGAAAAGAUAUAGGCCAGAAUUCUAAAGAAGAUAUUGACCUCUUGGGGUUUGGAGAUGCUGAUUCUGAUGAGAGAUUAAGUGACAUAUCUGAUGGCGGUCUUUCAAUGGGAACUGAAACGGAAUCAGUUGAGUUCACUCUUUUUCCUGAGCCUGCAAAAUCACUUGGAGCUACAAGACCAGCUGAAGCUGCUGAACCUGCAAAAUCACCUGAAAUUGAAAGACCAGAAGUGGCAAAACCAACUGAAAAAGCAGAGAACACCGAGAAACCCAGUUUUACAUCUAGGUUGCCGAGGCCUCCACAGAAGUUGAUGCAAACAAGAAAGUCACGCUUGUCAUUGACUAAGAGUUCCACUCCAAGGGCUUCAUCAGCUGACGAUCAGAACCGCCCAUGAAUUGCGAAGCUAAACUUUCGGUACGCCAGGCCACACUGGAACUUUCAAGGCUGUUUCCACCCUGGCGCACGUUAGCGAGUAGCCGUUUCCGGCUUAUCAAUCUGCGCAGCGGAAGUAGCGGAAAUAAAACGUGCUUUGAACUUGAGUUAAGGACACUAUACAUAAACCCAAACAAUAAUCCCUGAUUUUCCUACCAGAAGUUUUCUCGAGAAAAUGAACCAGAAAGCUCUACAGACGCUGCUUCCUGCUAGAGGACCAUUCAAUUCAUCCAGGCCUGUUGUACUGUUAAGCAGCCUUUUGUGUCUCAAUUAUAUAGAAGGGUUGGAUCUGCACGUGUGUGAGCCUAUCUAUAUUAGAUAGCAACGAAAACAAUUUAAUUGUUGUUUUUUAAUCAAGAUAAUGUACUCUCUGCCUUUGCAAAGAAAUGUUGAAUGAUGUAAGAUGUCUGGGUGCAAAAGGCCUCCUCAAAGUGAUCAAUCUUCAAUUACAUACAGGUGGAACCAAGUUGAGUGGUCAUCUUUUGACCUUACUGAUGUUGUCCCUGAGCAAAAUGCUUCUACACACUCCGAGGAAGAAGAAGCAAAGUAGCAUAAAUACUAAACUGAAGCAGCCUAAGAUACUGAGCACAGCAGAGCUCAUCUCAGCAGUGGGGCAGAUAUGGAGUAUUGUAAAUCCUCUUGCUAUUACUGAAUCAGGGGCAAAACCAAAUCGUAAUGGUAGUGGCUCUCAGAAAAGUGUUAUCUUGGGUGAUCUGGUUGGGGAAGAUGGUGGGGCAGCUUUAAAAGAUGAUGAUGAAAGAUACUUUAGUGUUUAUGCAAGGACUGCUAGUAAUAUUACACCUUCACUGCAGCCAAGGUUUGAGUUUCUUACAGUAACUCAGAAGUUGUUGGCGUUUGAACCUUGUAGGCGGAAUUGUACUCAUUCAUUAUUCUCACAGUUUUCGAAGGGAAGUACCACAUUAUCAAAUGAGUAUUGGAUAGGAAAGGGGCUAGCGAAUGUAGGAAAUUCAUAUGAAUUGGAAAGGAUAUAUGGAUGGAUGAAAGAAAUAAUUCCUGCUGAAUCACAGUAUCCUGUCAAUGUCACUAAGAUUGAGGAAAGAAUCUCAAUAAAAUCUGCACUUCAGGAAGUACAGUCAGCCAUGCUUGUGGCUGCAUUUCUAGAGAUGCAACUCAUACUGGAAAUAACUUUGCUUUAAGAAGAGCUGACUGCUACUCUGAUUCAAUCAAAUCAAAAGAUACAUUAGCAGGUGAUAAUAUGGAAGUAGCAAAGAAGACAGGAACAAUCAGCUAUCUCUGCUCUGAUUAUUUCAUUGGGACUCUUCAUGAUAACAAUGUACAUUGUAGUGUUUCAAGGGCACCAAGUUCUGCUCUUUAUGUAGAUUAUCAUAUCUACUUUUUAGCUACACAGAAGAGUACAUAUGGAAAAUUCAAACAUCACACUGAUGACAAUCAAAUGGCUGAGACAAGAAAACAACCUCAAAAGUUUGUUGUUGAGGACAAAAAUGUAAUGGAGGUUUCUACAUCAGCAUAUGCAAGACCGCAUUAUGCCCUUGCUAAGCAAGAGCAUGCUUAUGCAGGUGCAUUUUCUGGUAUAUUCGUUAGCCUUUGUCUACAUCCUGUUGACACAAUAAAGACAGUUACUCAAUCUUGCCGUAGAGAGCAGAAGUCUAUCUGUGACAUUGGAAGGUCAACUGUUUCUGAAAGAGGUGUAACUGGGCUUUAUCGUGGAAUUGCUAGCAAUAUUGCAUCUUCAGCUCCAAUAUCUGCCAUUUACACUUUCACGUAUGAAUCAGUUAAAGGAUCUUUGCUUCCUUUAUUCUCCA
rnacentral:misc_RNA from 1 species